rnacentral:rRNA from 1 species
GACGAACGCUGGCGGCGUGCUUAACACAUGCAAUUCGAACGAAGUGGCGAACGGGUGAGUAACGCGUAAUCAACCUGCCCUUCAGAGGGGGACAACAGUUGGAAACGACUGCUAAUACCGCAUACUGGAGGAGGGGAUUGCGUCUGAUUAGCUAGUUGGAGGGGUAACGGCCAACCAAGGCGAUGAGCAGUAGCCGGUCUGAGAGGAUGAACGGCCACAUUGGGACUGGUACACGGCCCAGACUCCUACGGGAGGCAGCAGUGGGGAAUCUCCCGCAAUGGACGAAAGUCUGACGGAGCAACGCAGCGUGAGUGAUGACGGCCUUCGGGUUGUAAAGCUCUGUUAAUCGGGACGCGGUACCGGAAUAGAAAGCCACGGCUAACUACGUGCCAGCAGCCGCGGUAAUAC